UUUAAAACUUGUUUUAAAACAAAAUUAGGUCACUUUUCUUUUUGUUUGAAAAUACAACAGCAGACUCAGCCCCCCCUCCGCCGUUUCAGACUUCGACGAAACGAGGACGCCCUCCGACGACCCUCACGACGGUAUGGAGAUCGUGGAAGACGUGCGAGCAAUGUCAUGGGAUAAUGAACAGUUGCUGAACGUGGGUGGUUGCGGCGCCGAAACCAUCAGCCUCCUAGGAUUUCUGUGACUUUGAAAAAUUUGGGCUGUAUAGGGUUAUUGGUUUGGGCUUUAUUGGGCCUCAUGUAUUUGGUUUGUAUUCGGCCAAAUGUGGGCUGUAAACAGUUUUGGGCCCCGGGCAAUAAUUGGGUAUUACAUACGCGAUUAUUAUAUUUCUUAGUCUAUUUUUUGACAGAGUUAAAAAAAAAAUCUUAUAAUCAA